AGUGAACGCUGGCGGUAGGCCUAACACAUGCAAGUCGAACGGCAGCACAGUAAGAGCUUGCUCUUACGGGUGGCGAGUGGCGGACGGGUGAGGAAUACAUCGGAAUCUACUUUUUCGUGGGGGAUAACGUAGGGAAACUUACGCUAAUACCGCGUACGACCUACGGGUGAAAGCAGGGGAUCUUCGGACCUUGCGCGAUUGAAUGAGCCGAUGUCGGAUUAGCUAGUUGGCGGGGUAAAGGCCCACCAAGGCGACGAUCCGUAGCUGGUCUGAGAGGAUGAUCAGCCACACUGGAACUGAGACACGGUCCAGACUCCUACGGGAGGCAGCAGUGGGGAAUAUUGGACAAUGGGCGCAAGCCUGAUCCAGCCAUACCGCGUGGGUGAAGAAGGCCUUCGGGUUGUAAAGCCCUUCUGUUGGGAAAGAAAAGCAGCAGGUUAAUACCCCGCUGUUCUGACGGUACCCAAAGAAUAAGCACCGGCUAACUUCGUG
rnacentral:rRNA from 1 species